rnacentral:rRNA from 1 species
GACGAACGCUGGCGGCGUGCCUAACACAUGCAAGUCGAACGGGACCAGGGGCAACUCUGGUUCAGUGGCGGACGGGUGCGUAACACGUGAGGAACAUGACCUUCGGCGGGGGAGUAGCCGGCCCAACGGCCGGGUAAGUACCGCGUACGACCAUUCGGGGACGAUCCCUGGAUGGUGAAAGCAGCAAUGCGCCGAUGGAGUGCCUCGCGGCCUAUCAGCUAGUUGGUGAGGUAACGGCCACCAAGGCGACGACGGGUAGCUGGUCUGAGAGGAUGG